UACGAAGGGUGCUAGCGUUGUUCGGAAUUACUGGGCGUAAAGCGCGCGUAGGCGGCUAUCCAAGUCAGAGGUGAAAUCCCUGGGCUCAACCCAGGAAUUGCCUUUGAAACUGUUUAGCUUGAGUGUCGGAGGGGAUAGCGGAAUUGCUAAUGUAGAGGUGAAAUUCGUAGAUAUUAGCAGGAACACCGGUGGCGAAGGCGGCUAUCUGGACGACAACUGACGCUGAGGCGCGAAAGCGUGGGGAUCAAACAGG
rnacentral:rRNA from 1 species